GUUCUCGUAGUUGAAUAACAACGGUGGUUCUUCAAGUCACUGGUCUCGGUUGGAAUCCGGGCGGGAAUU
rnacentral:tRNA from 1 species